UACGAAGGGGGCUAGCGUUGUUCGGAAUUACUGGGCGUAAAGCGUACGUAGGCGGAUCUGUAAGUAGGGGGUGAAAUCCCCAGGCUCAACCUGGGAACUGCCUUCUAGACUGCAAGUCUUGAGAUCAGGAGAGGCGAGUGGAAUUCCGAGUGUAGAGGUGAAAUUCGUAGAUAUUGGGAAGAACACCGAUGGCGAAGGCAGCCAUCUGGACCGACACUGACGCUGAGGCGCGAAAGCGUGGGGAGCAAACAGG
rnacentral:rRNA from 1 species